rnacentral:rRNA from 1 species
AAGAGUUUGAUCCUGGCUCAGGAUUAACGCUGGCGGCGUGCCUAAUACAUGCAAGUCGAACGGGAACCUCUUAAAAGGAGGUUUUUAGUGGCGAACGGGUGAGUAACACGUAAGUAACCUGCCUUUAAGACGAGGAUAACAACCGGGAAGGUUACUAAGACUGGGAUAGGGAAACAAAAAGGCAUCUUUUUGUUUUUAAAAGACCUUCUUACGAAGGUAUGCUUAAAGAGGGGCUUGCGCCACAUUAGUUAGUUGGUAGAGUAAAAGCCUACCAAGACGAUGAUGUGUAGCUGGACUGGAGAGGUUGAACAGCCACAUUGGGACUGGAGACACGGCCCAAACUCCUACGGGAGGCAGCAGUAGGGGAAUUUUCGGCAAUGGGAGGGAAACUCUGACCGAGCAACGCCGCGUGGACGAUGAAGUUAUUUUCGGUAAUGG